GACGAACGCUGGCGGCGUGCUUAACACAUGCAAGUCGAACGGAAAGGCCCUGCUUUUGGCGGGUGCUCGAGUGGCGAACGGGUGAGUAAGACGUGAGUAACCUGCCCUUGACUUUGGGAUAACUUCAGGAAACUGGGGCUAAUACAGAAUAGGAGCUCCUGAUGCAUGGUGGGGGUUGGAAAGUUUCGGCGGUUGGGGAUGGACUCGCGGCUUAUCAGCUUGUUGGUGGGGUAGUGGCUUACCAAGGCUUGGACGGGUAGCCGGCCUGAGAGGGUGACCGGCCACAUUGGGACUGAGAUACGGCCCAGACUGCUACGGGAGGCAGCGGUGGGGAAUAUUGCACAAUGGGCGGAAGCCUGAUGCAGGACCGUCGCGUGCGGGAUCACGGCCUUCCGGUUGUAAAGGGCUUGCGCCUGGGACGAAGCGGGAGUGACGGUAACGGAUGAAGAAGCACCGGCUAACUACGUG
rnacentral:rRNA from 1 species